rnacentral:rRNA from 1 species
GGGUGCAAGCGUUAAUUGGAAUUACUGGGCGUAAAGCGCACGCAGGCGGUCUGUCAAGUCGGAUGUGAAAUCCCCGGGCUCAACCUGGGAACUGCAUUCGAAACUGGCAGGCUAGAGUCUUGUAGAGGGGGGUAGAAUUCCAGGUGUAGCGGUGAAAUGCGUAGAGAUCUGGAGGAAUACCGGUGGCGAAGGCGGCCCCCUGGACAAAGACUGACGCUCAGGUGCGAAAGCGUGGGGAGCAAACAGGAUUAGAUACCCUGGUAGUCCACGCCGUAAACGAUGUCGAUUUGGAGGUUGUGCCCUUGAGGCGUGGCUUCCGGAGCUAACGCGUUAAAUCGACCGCCUGGGGAGUACGGCCGCAAGGUUAAAACUCAAAUGAAUUGACGGGGGCCCGCACAAGCGGUGGAGCAUGUGGUUUAAUUCGAUGCAACGCGAAGAACCUUACCUGGUCUUGACAUCCACAGAACUUUCCAGAGAUGGAUUGGUGCCUUCGGGAACUGUGAGACAGGUGCUGCAUGGCUGUCGUCAGCUCGUGUUGUGAAAUGUUGGGUUAAGUCCCGCAACGAGCGCAACCCUUAUCCUUUGUUGCCAGCGGUCCGGCCGGGAACUCAAAGGAGACUGCCAGUGAUAAACUGGAGGAAGGUGGGGAUGACGUCAAGUCAUCAUGGCCCUUACGACCAGGGCUACACACGUGCUACAAUGGCAUAUACAAAGAGAAGCGACCUCGCGAGAGCAAGCGGACCUCAUAAAGUAUGUCGUAGUCCGGAUUGGAGUCUGCAACUCGACUCCAUGAAGUCGGAAUCGCUAGUAAUCGUAGAUCAGAAUGCUACGGUGAAUACGUUCCCGGGCCUUGUACACACCGCCCGUCACACCAUGGGAGUGGGUGCAAAAGAAGUAGGUAGCUUAACCUUCGGGAGGGCGCUUACCACCUUUUUUUCAGGGGGG